rnacentral:rRNA from 1 species
UACGGAGGAUGCAAGCGUUAUCCGGAUUUAUUGGGUUUAAAGGGUGCGUAGGCUGUUCGGAAAGUCAGGGGUGAAAGCCCGGCGCUUAACGCCGGAACUGCCUUUGAUACUUCCGAGCUGGGAUACGGGUGCCGUGGGAGGAAUGAGUAGUGUAGCGGUGAGAUGUAUAGAUAUUACUCAGAACACCGAUUGCGAAGGCAUCUCACGAAUCCGUCAUUGACGCUGAGGCACGAAAGCGUGGGGAUCAAAC